rnacentral:misc_RNA from 1 species
GCAGCUUUAGCUUAAAAAAAAUUCCAUGAAUAUAAAAGAUAAAGAAACAGAGACAGACACAUUAGCUCAUUUCAAUGGCCACCAAGAAUAACUCAUCUUCUUCAACAAGACGUGCGUGCCUCUGCUCACCCACCACCCAUCCAGGCUCAUUCAAGUGCAGCCUGCACAGGAAUCCAAGAGGAAUUUAUGCAAAAUCAACGGCUCAUAUGAACCGGAUGGAGUUGUCAUCAUCAUCAUCAAGAACAGCAACCGGAGAAUCGUCAAAAUCAAAGAAAAUAGUAAUGAUGCCCUCAAAAGCUAACCUUAUAAAGGCGUUUCUCAUGCAAAUAAUCAAGCCAUCAAGCCAUGAUAUUCAAAGAAGAAGGAACUUCAAGCCCAAGCUUACCAGGUUCUGUCCUUUUAACGGUAAUGGCCACAAUGGGGUGACUGUUUCUUGAGUCUUGACCCUCUUUCCCUCCCUUCCUGUCAAAUAGAUUUUUUCUUUUUUUCUUAUUGUUGAUUUGACCUCCACUGAAACUCGAAUUUUUGGUGUAUAUAAAAGAUGUUAUCCAUGCAAGGUUGCGUAGGAAAUGAAGGAAUUUUAUGGAUUCAUGGGGUUUUUAAUUGGUUUUCUGGAUGAACAUGGCUAGAAGAGGGGGGAGUAUUUUCAUUUUAAUUGAGGAAAUUACAUUUUUU